rnacentral:rRNA from 1 species
CCGAGCAGCAGUGGGGAAUAUUGCCCAAUGGGGGAAAACCUGAUGCAGCGACGCAGCGUGCGGGAUGACGGCCUUCGGGUUGUAAACCGCUUUCAGUAGGGAAGAAGCCUUUGUGGUGACGGUACCUGCAGAAGAAGUACCGGCUAACUACGUGCCAGCAGCCGCGGUAAUACGUAGGGUACGAGCGUUGUCNGGAAUUAUUGGGCGUAAAGAGCUCGUAGGUGGUUGGUCACGUCUGCUGUGGAAACGCAACGCUUAACGUUGCGCGGGCAGUGGGUACGGGCUGACUAGAGUGCAGUAGGGGAGUCUGGAAUUCCUGGUGUAGCGGUGAAAUGCGCAGAUAUCAGGAGGAACACCGGUGGCGAAGGCGGGACUCUGGGCUGUAACUGACACUGAGGAGCGAAAGCAUGGGGAGCGAACAGGAUUAGAUACCCUGGUAGUCCAUGCCGUAAACGUUGGGCACUAGGUGUGGGGGGCAUUCCACGUUCUCCGCGCCGUAGCUAACGCAUUAAGUGCCCCGCCUGGGGAGUACGGUCGCAAGGCUAAAACUCAAAGGAAUUGACGGGGGCCCGCACAAGCGGCGGAGCAUGCGGAUUAAUUCGAUGCAACGCGAAGAACCUUACCAAGGCUUGACAUACACUGGACCGUUCUGGAAACAGUUCUUCUCUUUGGAGCUGGUGUACAGGUGGUGCAUGGUUGUCGUCAGCUCGUGUCGUGAGAUGUUGGGUUAAGUCCCGCAACGAGCGCAACCCUCGUUCUAUGUUGCCAGCACGUGAUGGUGGGAACUCAUAGGAGACUGCCGGGGUCAACUCGGAGGAAGGUGGGGAUGACGUCAAAUCAUCAUGCCCUUUAUGUCUUGGGCUUCACGCAUGCUACAAUGGCUGGUACAGAGAGAGGCGAACCCGUGAGGGUGAGCGAAUCCCUUAAAGCCAGUCUCAGUUCGGAUCGUAGUCUGCAAUUCGACUACGUGAAGUCGGAGUCGCUAGUAAUCGCAGAUCAG